rnacentral:rRNA from 1 species
GAGCACGUAGGUGGGUUUGUAAGUCAGAUGUGAAAGCCUUCUGUUCAACGGAAGAAUUGCAUCUGAAACUGCGGGUCUUGAGUGUAGGAGGGGAGAAUGGAACUUCUGGUGGAGCGGUGAAAUGCGUAGAUAUCAGAAGGAACGCCGGCGGCGAAAGCGAUUCUCUGGCCUAUUACUGACACUCAGUGUGCGAAAGCUAGGGGAGCAAACGGGAUUAGAUACCCCGGUAGUCCUAGCCGUAAACGAUGGGCACUAAGUAGAGGGGUUUU